AAUCAUUCAUAUUGGCAGGGCGCAGUGGAUCACGCCUCUAAUCCCAGCGCAUUGGGAGGCCGAGGCAGGUGGAUCACCUGAGGUCAGGAGUUCAAGACCAGCCUGGCCAACAUGGUGAAACCUCAUCUCUACUAAAAAUACAAAAAUUAACUGGAUGUGGUGGCAGGCACCUGUAAUCCCAGCUAAUCUGGAGACUGAGGCAGAAGAAUUGCUUGAACCUGGGAGACUGAGGCAGGAGAAGUUGCAGUGAGAUGAAAUUGCACCACUGCACUCCAGCCUGUGCAACAAGAGCAAAAAAACAAGAGCAAAAAAGGUUUCUGCCUGUCAUCCUCACAAUGGGUACCAGAUAUCACCUUCUUCCUACAUGCCUGCCAGAGCCAACAUAUACAGAUACGCAGAUUUUGAACUUCAGAAUUCAGCAAGGCACCUUCAGACAGACUACUCACAGAGUUUUACGGUGCCCAAUCUACACAACCACACCUGGUAGCGUUCCUGGCCUUUGUGAAACAAUUUACAUGGCUUUGUGCAUAUAAUGCUCACAACAAUCCCAUUAAGUCAACAGUCAACAUUUCACUGUCUGAAAAACAAGUCUGACAGCAAGUAUCUAUUUUUAUUAUUAUCAAAAGGUUUCUUUUUACUUUUAAAAUAUUGAACUUAAA
rnacentral:lncRNA from 1 species